rnacentral:rRNA from 1 species
GACCCGUCUUGAAACACGGACCAAGGAGUUUAACAUGUACGCGAGUCAUUGGGUCGUACGAAACCUAAAGGCGCAGUGAAAGUAAAGACUUGGCCAUCCAAGUUCAGGCACGAUCCCGGAACUGAUGGUCUUCUUGAACACAGUCUGGGCGCAGUGCCGGCUCGUCCCAUGUUUUAUUAAGCGGGGCGACGCAAGAGCGUACAUGUUGAGACCCGAAAGAUGGUGAACUAUGCUUGAGCAGGAUGAAGCCAGAGGAAACUCUGGUGGAAGUCCGUAGCGAUUCUGACGUGCAAAUCGAUCGUCUGACUUGAGUAUAGGGGCGAAAGACUAAUCGAACCAUCUAGUAGCUGGUUCCCUCCGAAGUUUCCCUCAGGAUAGCAGGCACUUGGGAAUCAAACAGUUUUAUCCGGUAAAGCGAAUGAUUAGCAGUAUUGGGGAAGAAAUUUCCUCAACUGAUUCUCAAACUUUAAAUGGGUGAGAAGCUCAACUCUCUUUAUUGGAGUUGUGCAUUGAAUGUGAGUGCCUAGUGGGCCAUUUUUGGUAAGCAGAACUGGCGCUGUGGGAUGAACCAAACGUUUGGUUAAGGAGCCAAACAUAACGCUCAUGAGAAACCACAAAAGGUGUUGGUUGAUUUUGACAGCAGGACGGUGGCCAUGGAAGUCGGAAUCCGCUAAGGAGUGUGU